ACAGAGAAUUAUCCAGUCCCAAAGGUCAACAGUGCUGAGUUGGAGAGAACCUGGUCUAACUGGUAUGUAAGUUGGUAGAG